rnacentral:lncRNA from 1 species
AUCCACCGAUCUAGGGAUCCAUGGAUCUAGGGAUCCACCGAUCUAGGGAUGCAAGGAUCUAGGGAUCCACCGAUCUAGGAAUCCACCGAUCUAGGAAUGCAAGCAUCUAGGGAUCCACCGAUCUAGGGAUUCACGAAUCUAGGGAUCCACCGAUCUAGGGAUGCAAGGAUUUAGGUAUCCACGGAUCUAGGAAUCCACCGAUCUAGGGAUCCACGGAUCUAGGGAUCCACGAUAUCUUGAGGUAUCUAUAUUAUUGACGUAAAGAUACCUCAAGAGACUGAAUAGUAAAUGUCGAGACAAACAUAUCAAACUCUUGUCAACUCUUAGUAUUGUGAAGUUCAUCGAAGUCAUCUGACGAUAUUAUGAUAACUGAGGUAUCUGUAUAACUGAUGUAAAGAUACCUCAAGAGACUGAAUAGUAAAUGUCGAGACAAACAUAUCAAACUCUUGUCAUCUCUUAGUUUUGUGAAGUUUAUCGAAGUCAUCUUUAACUAUUUAAUGUGGGUACCGAAUAGUAAAUGUCAAGAUGAACAUAUCAAACUUUUAUUGUCAUUUCCUAGUAUGUCAUUGUAAAGUUUCUCGAAGUCAUCUUACAAUAUUCUGACAAGUUUGAUGUUCACAUCGAAUGGUAAAUAUCGAGACAAAUACUUUUACUGUCAUCUCUUAGCAUAUCAUUGUAAAGUUUCUCGAAGUCAUCUCCUGUAUUUACGUUUUGAUACAAAGUGUUCGACACAUGGUAAUUUAAUAAUUUAAAAUUGCAAGGACUAUAGCUGGUAGACGCUAAAAACCUCAAGGAAACAGCCAUAUUAUUUAUGAUAAACGAUAGCCAUCAGUGUCGAAAUUUUUGUCAACUCAUCUACAUUAUUUUUAUAUAACUUUGCCAGUUCCUACGUUUUAUUCGUUUUCAGCGAACAUUUGGAAUGUCCCGCCACAGUCAUCAACAGUGGAGAUUCUGGGAAGCCAGGGUACUGCUUUCUCUUUCCCCUGAACCGAGUAUUACGUUGCGGUAAAACACACGAUUUUGAAAAGUUAUAACAAGAAGAAGCUCCCUUUACUCUUGGUUACGCCAAUGAUUAUGGCUGACAUUCUGGUGCAGCCGCAAGGUUUCGUCGCUCGUCAUUACAAUAUUGAAAUGAAGCAGAAAUAACAAUUACGUCAAUGAUGAUCAACGUUACUUUGUACCCGAGUCAAGGAAACUGUGCAUUUAACGAGACAAGGAAAGUCCAUCUUCCGCUACUAAAGAUAAACUCGAACAAAGAGAAGCUGAAGGACGCUGACCUUUACCUCAAGAAACACGAGAACAACUUCUCAAGAAGAAAGAACUUCAUGUUCCAAUCAGACGUCUCAUAAAUUAUGAAUCAAACGCGUAACAAAUACAAACACCAUUUUUUAUUUUCGAACUGCAAAAAAUGAUUUUAAAAAUGAAUGAUGGGAAAUGUAACUUCUUGCGGGAUCAAAGUUCAUAAAGAAAAAGCGAUCGAGCCAGUUUCCUGGUACUUUUAUGAUGAUCUUAUAUAAAACAGGGAAAGACGCGUACGUCACUGAGAUUGACGAAAGAAGUAUCAUUACCACGAUCGUCUGUACGUUCAUUUUUAAUGAAUUCUGUCAUAAAAACAAACAAUUUGUCUUCAAAAAACUUCGGGUAAUUAAUGGUUUACACGGAACAUUUAAAAUUUACAUUUUUCUUCAGCUGUUUUUUACUUUUGUAUUUUUCUGUGUUUGUAUAAAUAUUGUGGAUUGAUGUGAACUUUUAAAAAAUUUAUGAAAGGGUUAAUUGAUAUAUUCUGCGGUGUAAGGAUUUUAGAAUGUAGAGAGAUUCGCGAAUCUAGGACUUUAGGAGUCUAAGAGAUUUAGGGAUUUAGGGAUCCUCGGAUCUAGGGAUGCAAGGAUCUAGGGAUGCAAGGAUCUAGGGAUCCACGGAUCUAGGGAUCCACCGAUCUAGGGAUCCACCGAUCUAGGGAUCCACCGAUCUAGGGAUCCACCGAUCUAGGGAUCCACCGAUCUAGGGAUCCACCGAUCUAGGGAUCCACCGAUCUAGGGAUCCACCGAUCUAGGGAUGCAAGGAUCUAGGGAUCCACGGAUUUAGGAAUCCACCGAUCCAGGGAUCCACCGAUCUAAGGAUCCACCGA